GUAUGAGGGUAGAACGAGGAACA
rnacentral:siRNA from 1 species